ACAUUUUUUUCAUCAGAAGAUUUACAAACAGAAUCAUUCUCCUUAUUCAAAAUGGCUGAGACAGCACCCGGGCAAACAUAAUUUUCAACGGCAACAACAUUAGCAACUUCACUCAUCUUCUCUGCCUUAUCAUUAAUUGAGCUACAAACUAUAUCCUGCAUACCACAACAAGAUUUACCAGUAGUAUUUUCUUUUCUUUUAUAAUUCGGAAUGGCAGAAAUGAUUUCAUCAUUGAUUUUAAUGUCA
rnacentral:misc_RNA from 1 species